UAGAACUAAAUGGUAUUUUGGGAGUACCAAAACGGGAUUAUAUUCUUUGUAAAAUUCAACAAUACAUGAUAAAAUAACUUGACGCCCGAACGGGACAUAAGUCAUGCGUGCUAGAGGCCCAAGCGGGACUUAUCUCUGUCGAAUCGAAACGAACAAAAUAAAACAUAAUAAUGCUCAAACGAGACUUCGGUGUGUGCGUGCUAAAUGCCCAAUCGGGACUUAUCUCCCCAAAAUAAAACAAUGCAAUGCCCAAACGGGACUUGUGUUAAAGUGUUAGAGGGCCCAAACGGGACUUAUCUCUUCAUUAAAGAACAAAUACAGAAUAAAUCAAAAUAAUGCCCAAGACGGGACUCAUAUAUGCAUACGAGAAAAUAAAAAUAGAAUAUACUAAAUAAACCAAGGUUAUGCCCAAACAGGACUUAAGUAAGUGCAAAAGACGGUAUAAACGAUUUCAUCUCUUAAAAAAUGCAUAUUAAAUGCAACUCCAAUUCUAAGUAUGCUCAAACAAUUGCGUGUCGCAAAAUAUUUUUUGUCUCAAACUACUAGACUAAGUAUAACACCGACAAAAAAUACAAAAAAAAAUAAUAAUAAAUAAAUAAAUAUAUAAAUGGAUAUUGAGUGAUAUACUUACGGAUUUAACUACAAUCAAUCUUUAAUUCGAGAACGUUGAAAGUUAAUGGAGAAUGAAUGAAAAUGCUGUUUUUAUCCGAACCUUGACCAAAAAAAAAUCCAGAUGGUUUAACAUACUCUACAAAAUCCUUUACAAAAGAUUUGUAUUGGUUGUUUGAUGAUGACCACAAUAUAGGCCAAAAACAUGACGAAGUCCAUUUCGGAACAACGAUAGUAUCCUUUCCUUUACAAAUUAACAUAUGAUUUAAUGCUCUACCUACAAGGUGAACAGAAGGAACUAACCAACAGUUAUAAGUAUUCCACGA
rnacentral:lncRNA from 1 species